ensembl:lncRNA
GAAAAAGCUCAUUUUGUGGUUGUGGAUAUGGUGCUGGAAAUGCUGGAGGCUGUGAAAUGGGUUGUGUGUUAGCAGCAUUUAAAAAACACACAUCCUCAUCGAGACAGAUGCGAAACACAAAAUCCCUCAAAAACACACUCAAUCUAUUCCUCUGACAGCAGGUUUGAGGAUGACAGCACCCCCAAACUAUCUUCAAGCAGAUACUCCCUGGCUUCUUUUCAGAGUUGUCUCCAGAGCUCCAGAAUGCAGUGCUCGGCUGAAAAUUUAGCCCACCAUUUGGUGUCAGAGUUCAGGAAGCAGUGGUUCUCCUCUGAGCUACUGCAAAACCCCGACGACCUCAACUCUGCUCUUGCAGGAAGUCUCUGUCCCUGUUAUGGGAGAGAACAGGAUCAGUCUAACUGAAGAGAUUGUGCAGAAGACCAGAAUGAUGUUUUUAAAUUUAUUGUGUGUAAUCAUUUGCUUUAGGAUCUACAGGAGCAACUAAUAUCCAUCAAAAAGCUUCUGAGCACAUGCAGACUAUCAACUGGGUGAUUAACUAGCCCUCUUGUUUCUCACCAUU